GCCAUCAUGGCCUAGCGGAUAAUGUGUCAUCCAAAUGGGAUUUGCCGAAUCACUAUAGGUGACUGAGGGUUCGAAUCCCUCUGGGUGCA